GGGCCCGUAGCUCAGCCUGGUUAGAGCGCACGCCUGAUAAGCGUGAGGUCGGACGUUCGAAUCGUCCCGGGCCCA
rnacentral:tRNA from 1 species